rnacentral:lncRNA from 1 species
GUUGAAUAGUAAGCAUUAUUCUCAUGUUAUUUAAUUAUUCUUCAAACAUGUUACUUGGAACAAAUAGGUUGCAGAAUAAUUCCCCAACAUUGAAAAAUUAUGGAGUUCCUUUUGAUCCACUCUUCUACCAUAAUAGCUUGCAAACACUUUUUUUUUUUUAGCUAACAAAUACAGCCAUUGAAAUAUUAAGUCUCAUGGAACUCUUUGCUGAGCUUUUGUAGCAACGUUUGGUAAUAACAGUAUCACCAAGCACGUUCCCUGGGGAUAGCAACAGGUGUCCCUUCAAAGACAUGCUGACUCCACCUCACUUGCUUCUCACCUGGUUGAUCAGAGGAACCAGCUGUAAUACAGAAUGUCCUUCUUUUUGGUGACUGCUAACAUACUUCUUCACAGUGCAGUGUCUACAGAGGAGCUGCAGGCCCAUCCAUUCACUGAUGUUACCCUCUCCUGUCGUUUCUCCUUUGUGAAGGGCACUGAAAAUCCUGAGUUUUCUUGGGAAAGAGAAGACAUCAAAGAGGAAUAUGAGGUAGAGGAUGAUAAAGAAAAUUACCUCUUUUUCAAGUACUAUGAUUUUUUUUUAAGUUUUCUCGAAGUGGUUUACCAGUUUCACAAUAACACAGAGCAACUGGAAGAUCAAAACUCCUUGUAUGAGGGAAGAGUAUCUGUGGAUCAGGCUGAAAUUUCUGAGGGGACUCUAUCACUUUUACUAAUAAAUGUGGAUUUCAUGGAUGAAGCUAUCUACAAGUGCUCAGCCAUCACACCAGAUGGAAGAGGUGAAAGUACAAUUAAGCUAAUGGUAGAAGCAGGGUAUCUGGAGUUCAGUGGAGAAACUGGAAUGAAUCCACUCAAAGAGGGGAAGUUUCCAAAAACUAAAGACAGCAGUGAUAGAUAA